UACAGAGGGGGCAAGCGUUAUUCGGAAUUAUUGGGCGUAAAGGGCGCGUAGGCGGCUUUGCAAGUGGCGGGUGAAAUCCCUCGGCUUAACCGAGGAACUGCCUGUCAAACUGCAUGGCUUGAGACCAGGAGAGGUGAGUGGAAUUCCCAGUGUAGCGGUGAAAUGCGUAGAUAUUGGGAGGAACACCGGUGGCGAAGGCGCUCAUCUGGCCCAAUACUGACGCUGAUGCGCGAAAGCUAGGGGAGCAAACGGG
rnacentral:rRNA from 1 species